UACAACAACUUCAAACAACUUCAAAUAUAGAUGUAUAACUCAUCAAGAUCUAUAAAUUUUUUUUUUAGCUAUUUCUUCAUCCGAUAAAGUGUUAGUAACAUUGUUCACAAAAAUAACAUAUUUGUGUUAUAGUUUGUAAACUAGAUGAAAGAUAUGUGAAUUUUAUGAACAAUAUUACUAUCACUUUAUCGGUUGAAGAAAUGACCAAAAUAAAAGUUAUAGUUCUCGAUGAGUUAUACAUCUAUAUUUGAAGUUGUUUGAAGUUGUUAUA
rnacentral:pre_miRNA from 1 species